rnacentral:rRNA from 2 species
GUGCGAGACCGAUAGCGAACAAGUACCGUGAGGGAAAGAUGAAAAGAACUUUGAAAAGAGAGUUAAAGAGUACCUGAAACUGCUGAAAGGGAACCGAAUCGUAUCCAGUGUCUAUAAUCCAUGGCAUAUUUCAUUGGCGAGUGAGUGCGUGCAGCGUUUUGGAAGUGGUUUUCCGCUCCUGUCGUUGUUGUGCAUUUGCUUGCUGGUGCCCUGUGCUGUGGUGGGACGUCAGAGUCAGUUUGUAUGUUGCGGGAAAUGGUUAUUGGGGAGGUAGGUCACUUCGGUGGCUGUUAUAUCCUGGUAACUAGUCGUCGUGGCUGAGACUGAGGUGCCUACAAUGUGCUUUCGAGUGUGCGGGAUUCUCGUGUGGCUGUUUGCUUUGAUAGCUUGCUAUGUUGGUGAAUAAGUCGUGCGAUUGAGACUUGUAUUAACUUGUUGCUGUUCGGGACUUUGAA